GAUGAACGCUAGCGGCAGGCUUAAUACAUGCAAGUCGAGGGACAGCACAGGUAGCAAUACUGGGUGGUAACCGGCAAACGGGUGCGGAACACGUACACGACCUUCCUUUAAGUGGGGGAUAGCCCAGAGAAAUUUGGAUUAAUACCCCGUAAUAUAGUUGAAUGGCAUCAUUUGAUUAUUAUAGCUACGGCGCUUAAUGAUGGGUGUGCGGCUGAUUAGAUAGUUGGCGGGGUAACGGCCCACCAAGUCUACGAUCAGUGGCUGAUGUGAGAGCAUGAUCAGCCACACGGGCACUGAGACACGGGCCCGACUCCUACGGGAGGCAGCAGUAAGGAAUAUUGGUCAAUGGACGCAAGUCUGAACCAGCCAUGCCGCGCGAAGGAUUAAGGUCCUCUGGAUUGUAAACUUCUUUUAUUUGGGACGAAAAAGGGCCUUUCUAGGUCAACUGACGGUACCAGAUGAAUAAGCACCGGCUAACUCCGUGCCAGCCGCCGCCGUAACAC
rnacentral:rRNA from 1 species